UGCACAGAUUAUUGUAUUCGACUGUAUUCACGCCAAGAAACAGGGGAUUACAUUGAUUUUAAACGAAAAGUGAAUCAAUUAACAUAAUCGACUCCU
rnacentral:pre_miRNA from 1 species